rnacentral:rRNA from 1 species
GUGGCGGACGGGUGAGUAAUGCUUGGGAAUCUUGCUCAUGGGGGGGGAUAACUACGGGAAACUGUAGCUAAUACCGCGUAGUAUCGGAAGAUGAAAGUGUGGGACCGCAAGGCCACAUGCCAUGAGAUGAGCCCAAGUGGGAUUAGGUAGUUGGUUAGGUAAAGGCUGACCAAGCCGACGAUCUCUAGCUGGUCUGAGAGGAUGACCAGCCACACUGGAACUGAGACACGGUCCAGACUCCUACGGGAGGCAGCAGUGGGGAAUAUUGCACAAUGGGGGAAACCCUGAUGCAGCCAUGCCGCGUGAAUGAAGAAGGCCUUCGGGUUGUAAAGUUCUUUCGGUGAUGAGGAAGGUGUUUGUUUUAAUAGGACAAGCAAUUGACGUUAGUCACAGAAGAAGCACCGGCUAACUCCGUGCCAGCAGCCGCGGUAAUACGGAGGGUGCGAGCGUUAAUCGGAAUAACUGGGCGUAAAGGGCACGCAGGCGGUGACUUAAGUGAGAUGUGAAAGCCCCGAGCUUAACUUGGGAAUUGCAUUUCAUACUGGGUCGCUAGAGUACUUUAGGGAGGGGUAGAAUUCCACGUGUAGCGGUGAAAUGCGUAGAGAUGUGGAGGAAUACCGAAGGCGAAGGCAGCCCCUUGGGAAUGUACUGACGCUCAUGUGCGA